rnacentral:lncRNA from 1 species
AAACAGGUGUCAGGGCCCAAGCCAAGUAGUCUUGAGGUCAGGACAGGGUGUCACUUCUAAACGAGGCGCCUGAGCCCAAAGCAGGCCUGAGGCAAAACCCAUUCGCCCUGGCAACAGCAUGACAGACGGACCCACUCUGGGAGCAAGGGAUCCUGAGUUUAAGUAAGCCAGGGAGUGCCUGGGCAGCUCUGUCGGUGAAGCAUCUGCCUUCAAUCCAGGUCAUGAUCCUGGAGUCCUGAAAUCGAGCCCCAAAUUGGACUCCUUACUCAGCGGGGAGUCUACUUUUCCUUCUCCCUCUGUCACUUCCCCAGCCCAGCCCCCAAUUCAUGCUCUCUCUCUCUCUCUUUUCUCAGUCAAAUAAAUAAAUAAAUAAAUAAAAUCUUUUUAAAAAGUCAUCUUUAUCACAGAUCUGAAAAUAUAACUGGGAUGAAGACACUUUCUUUUUUUUUUUUUUCCCCAAAGGAAA